rnacentral:rRNA from 1 species
CAAUGGAUCUCUUGGUUCUCGCAUCGAUGAAGAACGCAGCGAAUUGCGAUAUGUAAUGUGAAUUGCAGAUUUUCCGUGAAUCAUCGAAUCUUUGAACGCACCUUGCGCUCCUUGGUAUUCCGAGGAGCAUGCCUGUUUGAGUGUCAUUAAAUUCU